GAAAUGCGAUAAGUAAUGUGAAUUGCAGAAUUCAGUGAAUCAUCGAAUCUUUGAACGCACCUUGCGCUCCUUGGUAUUCCCUGGAGCAUGCCUGUUUGAGUAUCAUGAAAUCUUCAAAGUAAAUCUUUUUUUAACUCAAUUGGUUUCUACUUUGGUAUUGGAGGUCUUUGCAGCUUCACACCUGCUCCUCUUUGUUCAUUAGCUGGAUCUCAGUGUUAUGCUUGGUUCCACUCGGCGUGAUAAGUUAUCUAUCGCUGAGGACACUGUAAAAGGUGGCCAAGGUAAAUGCAGAUGAACCGCUUCUAAUAGUCCAUUGACUUGGACAAUACUUUUAUGAUCUGAUCUCAAAUCAGGUAGGACUACCCGCUGAACUUAAGC
rnacentral:misc_RNA from 1 species